AGUCUCGGGCAGAGGAACGCAGGCAGCGCCAACAACUGUCAUGCCAGGGAUGAAUGCCGGGACGAGCACAAAGGCUGCUGUUGGCAGAUCUGCGCGAAGGCGCCACAUCGCAGCGAUGGUACUGUUCUCAGCUGUGCUGCUGUCUGCGCUGGUGCUGGCCUGUGGUGCUGUGAUAUGGAUGUGCCAAAAAUACGUAGUGUGCAAGAGAGAAGAGAGAGCAGCAGAGCAGGCUCAUCCUGAUA